AAACCCUAGCCUCCAUGUUCCCUCUACUCUUUCUCUCUCUAGAAAACUCAAGAAGAAGCUAUCUUUUUCGGGUUCUUGACCUUCAUCUCUAUUGCUCUAGGAAGUGGUUGACCACAUCAGCUCGUAAUUCGUUUAAGUCAUACCGAGCAAAACAAAGGUUGUUAAGGUAGCACACGACAGGACUAGGAUGCAUUGGAGUCGCAUUGAUUUUAUCAAACAUUUAGACUUACCUUUAAUCACAUUAGCUAUUUUGGUUUUGUAAUUACUUACGCUUCCGCAACUCAAUUGUAUAAACAGUGUUUUCUCAUGAAUGAACAAGUAGGAAAAUUUUAAACUCA